CGUGUGAUUGCCAAUGUAAAUAUUAUUAUUGUUAUUACGACGCAGUAUUAUAGUAACUACUAAAUAUUACAUUCGCUUGUUGUUGUGAGGUGCGCGACGAGACGAGACGCAAUAAUAAUUAAAACGCGUGACCUAUAAUAACCGUUUUCGUUUUUUCAGUGUCCUCAGUCUUCGAAUAUUUUUUGUUCCGAACACAAACGACAUAUCUAUAAUAAUAUAAUAUUAUCGACUAUCGUACUUGUAAAAUAACAUCGUAACGUCGAUUUUCCAAAAUGAACUCUGGGCCGUUAGUACGCUACGCCAUGAUAACUGGUGACGUGCUGGAGACGACCAUCGGAAUGACUGGUUUGACGAUCGCAGCCGCUGCGACAGGCUGGGGCUUGCCAUCGGUAGCGAUCACUUCGGCCGCCGUCGGCGUAUACAAAGUAGUCAAGUUACUGUGGAGGAUACAGAGGAGAUUGCGGUGACAUCUGUCAUGAUAAUAUCACGUACACUUUAUUAUAUACAUCCACACACAGGACGAUUCGUUUGACGCUCCUUCUCAGUCAUCUUGCUAUAUAGUCGGUUUUUGGAGUAAAACGUAUAAAAAGUUUUCGUAUGAUUCAAAUCUUGGAGGACCUCUAAGCCCAUAUAAAUAACGAACAUUAAUUAUAUGGUUUUUUAUUCGUAAGAAUUUGAGGCUGUUUUAGAUGAGCUGACAAUAGUGUGCCAUAUUUUAAAAUAGUAAAUAUAUUCUACAACCCCACUCCUCCAACUCGAUCUUACCUAAACUUUAAUUGCUUAUGAAUAAAUUACUUAUCAGUACAAGAAAAAAAAAGUAAACAGUAAAAAAUUAUUGAACCAUCGACUGUAAUAUAUUAGUAAGAACGGUUUGUGUCAAGACGAUCGUCCUGUAUACACAAUCGCAUAUAUUAUACAUCUAAAAAUCUUAUAGUCAGACAAUUCGUCUACAACCGCGUCAUUUGCCGAUUCAAGAUGUGACAGUGGAUCGCAAACGCAGCCGCAGAGUAGAAAAAUACAACCAAAUAAUAUAAUGCUGGCCGAGUCGUAAACAUAAUAUAGCAACUCUUUAAACGUGUUUUUUUGUGUGUGAAUAUCUGUGGUAACGUAGUACAUCAUUACAUGUAUAUAAUACAGUGUCGCUCAAAACGAAAUGUAAAUUUGUGUGUACAUAUUAAACUAAAAUAAAAAUAAUAUUAUACGUUA